rnacentral:misc_RNA from 1 species
AAACUUCUCAAAACCAUAUUAUAUAUAUGAUGUGGCUUUUGGAUGAUGGGGGUUUAUUUUUUGCGGGCUUGAAAAAGUCGGCUCCCCUGAAAUGUAUUAGUGGUAUCUGAGGGGCUACUUUGGGCAUGAUAAAUUUGUCUAUGUCUUUUUAAUAUAGUCCCAAUAUGAACGGCUUAAAAUUUACACAUGCUGUUGUUG